CUGCAUGGCUCAGUGUGAAAAACUCCGGUGGUAUAAGAUGGACCCGCGUUGGAUUAGCUAGUUGGUGGGGUAACGGCCCACCAAGGCGACGAUCCAUAGCCGGCCUGAGAGGGUGAACGGCCACAUUGGGACUGAGACACGGCCCAGACUCCUACGGGAGGCAGCAGUGGGGAAUAUUGCACAAUGGGGGAAACCCUGAUGCAGCGACGCCGCGUGAAGGAAGAAGUAUCUCGGUAUGUAAACUUCUAUCAGCAGGGAAGAUAGUGACGGUACCUGACUAAGAAGCCCCGGCUAACUACGUGCCAGCAGCCGCGGUAAUACGUAGGGGGCAAGCGUUAUCCGGAUUUACUGGGUGUAAAGGGAGCGUAGACGGUGUGGCAAGUCUGAUGUGAAAGGCAUGGGCUCAACCUGUGGACUGCAUUGGAAACUGUCAUACUUGAGUGCCGGAGGGGUAAGCGGAAUUCCUAGUGUAGCGGUGAAAUGCGUAGAUAUUAGGAGGAACACCAGUGGCGAAGGCGGCUUACUGGACGGUAACUGAC
rnacentral:rRNA from 1 species